rnacentral:rRNA from 1 species
GACGAACGCUGGCGGCGUGCCUAAUACAUGCAAGUAGAACGCUGAAGAGAGGAGCUUGCUCUUCUUGGCUGAGUUGCGAACGGGUGAGUAACGCGUAGGUAACCUGCCUGGUAGCGGGGGAUAACUAUUGGAAACGAUAGCUAAUACCGCAUAAAAUUGAUUAUUGCAUGAUAAUUAAUUGAAAGAUGCAACUGCAUCACUACCAGAUGGACCUGCGUUGUAUUAGCUAGUUGGUGAGGUAACGGCUCACCAAGGCGACGAUACAUAGCCGACCUGAGAGGGUGAUCGGCCACACUGGGACUGAGACACGGCCCAGACUCCUACGGAAGGCAGCAGUAGGGAAUCUUCGGCAAUGGGGGGAACCCUGACCGAGCAACGCCGCGUGAGUGAAGAAGGUUUUCGGAUCGUAAAGCUCUGUUGUAAGAGAAGAACGGGUGUGAGAGUGGAAAGUUCACACUGUGACGGUAUCUUACCAGAAAGGGACGGCUAACUACGUG